UGUUGGUUUGCACUGGGGGGAUUACACACCUGCAGUUCCACUCACACCCGGCAAUUACUGAUUCUGGACUUCAACACACAGAGAAGCAGUGGAUUGCAAAAGCCGCUUCUUAGUAAAGUUACCCCAAAGCCUGAAUGCAAGUUACCCCAAAGUGUCCUGACACUUUACAAUGAGCUAAAAUUAGACCGUCCGGCAAAAUGACAUUUGCACUAUAACGAAGUAACCACACCGCUGAAGUGUUACUUUACAUGGGAGGCCGCGCUAUACCUUCAAUGAUUGAUUCUCCAGCAUUGUUGCCAAAUGAUAGUCUCUUGGAUGUUUCUUUUAUGGUGAUCUACAUGCUUGGUAUUUGUACAUGAUUCUGUUUCAUCCAAUUGGAGGUAAUUUGUGUGUAUUUUUUUCUAUAAUUACAUAAAAAAAAUGUAUAGUGAUUGUAACAUUGCAAUACCUAACUGUAUUUAAGGAAACUGUAUUAUAACAAGACCUAUUAGCUUUAUACAAAAUAAAGAAAAAUGCUGA